rnacentral:lncRNA from 1 species
CCCUGGCCAUGUACCACCAUUAAAAAUAAAAGUGUGCUUUUUCUCUAACUAGCUACCGUAGCCCUGGAGAUGAACCCACCUGGGUAGAGUGAGGAGUGGGAGAAACUGCUGCUUCUGAUCUCAGGAGACAUUUGGACCUCAGGAGACACUGCAGGAGGAGCAGGCACUAUGGUGCUCAGUAUCACUGUGGUAUUCAGGUUCAUUCUGAACUGGGACAAAUGUUGGAGAUCUCACUUCUGGAAAGCACAUCUGAGCAGCUGAGUUGAACCAGGUACUGUUCACCCUUUGUAUCCUUGUAUGCUUACUUAUUCUGUUUGCUCUUUCCAGUGUGCAUUCCCUGCUGCAUUAAUGUUAUGAUGCUGGUUAAAAUUGCUUCAUCAUCUGUCUAUUAAAUUAAAAGAUCAUCAAGGCAUUAAAGUGUUACUUAGUAGCUGGUGUUUACACAGAUUGGUCAUUAAAGAUUCCAAGCUCCAUUUAGCUCAGCGCUUACAAAGUAACUCAUUAAGCUAAGAUUGCAAGGCCCCCAUUCAGCAAAACACCUACCAUGUGUUCAAAUACCAUUAAAUUCACUGAGUUUUAGGCUCAUCAUUUUGACUUUUGCCAUUCUGUUCAUUGGGCA